rnacentral:lncRNA from 1 species
UGAACCAUAUUUUGAAGAGAUAAGCAAGAGUCUAGUAUCCCUGUGAGAACAGUGAGAAGCUUCUGGCCUCUUUUCAGAUUUCACACCCCAUACUGGCUGCAUGGACCACAGGCCCCCAGAACAACCACUGUCUUCAUGGGAAGGCACUGUGUAAUGAAACAGUCCUUCAGAGGCCCCUGGAAAAGCCAGAUGGCCUGGAUGUUUCGGAUCAGAGCAAAGAGCAUCCUCAGCAUCUGUGUGAGAAGUGCAAAGUUUUGGGCUACUACUGCCGCCGUGUGCAAUAAGCCUUCGAAGUGGCCUCUUCCCGUCCCCGUCAUCCUUAAAGAUCCUCUGGCAGCACGCGAUCAACAGCAACACAACAAAUCAAGAUAAAAGCUAAAAUAAUUGCCAAUAUUGCCUAUCUAAUAAUAUGCCUUACCAUUAAUAGAAUGUAACAUUUCUCCUGUGCACGCACGUGCAUGCAACAGGUAUUUACAGGACUAUGAUUUGUAUACAUACAUAUAUGUAAACUUAUAUGUAUAUGUACACACACAUAUAUGAAGCGUUACUGAUAGUGUUCACAACGGAACCGUGGUUGCAGGUUCUGCUGAUUGUUUACACAGACCCUAUAUCAUGGCCAGGUGAAAAGAAGUACUAUUCAAUAGGCAAGGUUUCACAAGGAAUAUAUGUUAUAUGUAUGGCUUUUGCAGAGGUUGAAUAACUGUGGGGCCACUAAUUGCAAGCACUCACCCACAACAUGAACAUUAUUCCUAUUAUAUGACAAGACAAAGGAAAUGAAACAAGCCACAGCAUAAAAGAAGGAAAAAUAUUUUUUUCCCAGUUUUAGAAAGUCUGAGAAGUUUUGUGCUGCUGCUUUCUUGGACUUUUCCCAUUUGUUGCCAUCGCUUGGGCAGGGCUUAGGCAAAACCAGUUUUGCAGGACGUGGCAAAAAAAUAAGUGAAUAAUUGUUUGAGGGUGUGGGUUGGGUAGAAAGGGAAUGCCAUGAUGGGACCCAGAAUCAGGAAGGAUUCCAAGGGGUUUUUAGAGGAGACAAAAUUGGCUUGCUUGUGUGACUAACAGAUCCUUCUCUUGUCAUAUAAUCCCGCUGAAAUGGUCCCUGUAUGUGUAUGGGCUGUUCAUUAGACCACAAGCACACUAAAUUUACUGUGAAUAAGGGGGGAUAAGAAUACUUAAAACUGUCCCUGAAACCCUUAAUUGAAAUAUUAGCCAAACUGACUAUUUAUAAUAGUUUUAAAGCCACUUUCUAGAAAUAUUUUUAUGUCCUCUUUUCUACUGUACAAAUUUGUAAUAAUAUAAAACUUCUUGGCCGUAUGGGUGUUUUGAGGCAUGGAGAACACUCUGUAUAACCUUCCCUCUUUAUGUCUUCCUGGAGCACCUACAUAUCUGAGGAGAAAUGUAGGAGUUAUAUUUCAUUGUCCCAUUUCAGGUAAAACUUUGUGCAGGGGCAUCCUGCUGCAAAGAAGCAUAUUGUCAGGGAUUUGGAAAUACCAUGAACUGAAAGUACCUCGAGACAAUAUCCUGUUUGUAUGUCUACAUAAGUGCACAUUGGCAAAAAGACACAACGAGCAACUCACUUGCAUUAUUCACUAAAAAAGUUACAGGGAUAAUGUUUGCUUUUUUUUUUUUUAAAAUCAACAAUUUCUAUUUUUUAUGAAGUUUCCUUUAGAGAGAUUGUUUUGUCUGAAUGAUACUUAAUGGAAAUACUUUAAAUCCUAAAUAACUUGAUGCGGAUUAAAUUUGUUUCGAGGAUUAAUUCCAUAAUGCUAAGUCAGAGGGGGUUUUAUGCCAAGUUAUAACAGGAUGCUACCAGUAGGUACAGUCAAGCGCUUGUAAAGCAAAUUGAAUACUUAACAGUGAGUAUUCAUAUAGGAAAUGUGAAACUCUGUACAAUUUUGCUCUAGGGUGAAAUUUUUGCCAUUUCCCUGCCUUUCUGUCAGUGGACAAAAUUGUUUCUGCUUUUUCUGUUGGUAAUGUCACACACAUACCUUGCAAACUCCCUUAUUUAUGGGUAGUCCAGGUGACCCAGUCUACUGGUCAGAGCAAUGGAUAAAGCUUGGGACUCCUGGCUUUUUACCAUGGCUCUUCCAUUAGCUCCCUGAUUUGGGGCAAGUCACAGGAUCCUUCUAGACCUCAGUUUCCCCAAGUGCCAAAUGAGGAUAAUAAUACUUCAGCACACAUACCUCACAGGAGAGUUGUGAGACUUACUUAACAUCCGUGUUUUGACAUCACUGGAUAAAAAGUGCUAUGUAAUGCUAAAGUAUUUAGUAUUGAUUAAAUUAAUCACUUUGAAACUAGCUUUGCCUAGUUGGCAAUUCCAUCAACUAAAAGAGCUAAAAAAAAUAUUGAAAGUAAACACUAAUAACGGCUCAGUUGCCUCAGUGAAAAUAUGCAGUUUUAGUAUUUUUGAAUGGAAACACAUUCUUUUGCACAGACUCAGAAAUUACCUUAUACACAAAUUUUCUAAACAAAGAUACUAAUCUGCCCAUGUGAAGAAGAAUAAGAAAAUAGACAGGCAAAUCUAGGGGUGGAUUUUCAAAGCUUGAGCUCCAGUAUUAAUCUUGGUAUUUUGCUUCAAGCACAAUUAAUAUUGAAAGAGACACAUACUAAACCAGGUCUAUUUUUUCCUCUUGAGCACUUAAUAAUACAUUUAAGAAAAGAAAAAAAAAAGAA